AAGGAUCAUUCAUAAUAAGUGUUUUAUGGCACUUUUUAAAAUCCAUAUCCACCUUGUGUGCAAUGUUGAAAAUUACCUUUCGAGGUGGUUUUUUUUCUUAAUAUCAACCAAUCUUAAUUAAUUUGUCUUAAUACCUUGAAUUUACUUAAUUCAAAAUACAACUUUCAACAACGGAUCUCUUGGCUCUCGCAUCGAUGAAGAACGCAGCGUAGCCGUGCACCGAUGUGGAAGUAAAAGUCGUAACAAG
rnacentral:misc_RNA from 1 species